CAGAACCUCUAAAUCUGCAGAGUCCAGAACUGUGGAGCCGGAAGCACAAGUUUCCAAAGUGCACCACUUGGGAUAAUGAUGCCACCGUGCUCUCAUCAGCCUCUGGCCCACCGUCUCCUUGAGGUGCUUUACGGCACUUCCGCCAUCCUGUUUGUGAA